GCCCUCGUAGCCCAGCGGGAGAGGCACGACGUUGAGGACGUCGCCAGCGCGAGUUCGAAUCUCGCCGAGGGUAC
rnacentral:tRNA from 1 species